UUUCCAAAACCAAAUUUGUUGUAACCCAUUUAAGAAAUACAAAAACAAACUAGUGAUACUGGAUAAGUGGUAGACAUAUCUCAUACGGCUAUUAUUUCUGUCUGUGAGACAAAAGUAACAGGUAUAUGAACCAAACUGAUGUUAUCUCUGUCUUACAGAGAGAAAUAGCAGAUUUCUUGUUCAGAACAAGAAAGGCUUUACAGAAAGAUUUUUUUUUUCAAAUCAUUACAUCCAAAAGAUGAUGAUCAACAGAGGAGCAGAAAGCAAAACGAAAAAACGUAUAUUUCAAGCAGCAGUUUAAUGUGACUUGAAAGAAACAAUACAAGUAAACGAGCAUUGGUAUAUUAACCAGAGAAGCAUUUAGAGUAAAACAACUGGAAAACCGAAAACAAAAUACUGUUUUUACCUGGAGAACUGGAUAUAUUUUAAAAUGAUUUUUGUUUGGUUUUUGAAUGGAGUUCUUCAUGUGCUUGUUUAUAAUGCAAAUGCUACAUUGAAAUGUAAAUAAAAAUAUUACAAUAAAACGUAUAUGCAAAUGUUAAAAUGUUACGUAAAUGUUAU